rnacentral:rRNA from 1 species
CGCCUCUUGCCUUUCACAGGAGGUCCCGUCUGCACAAUGACCUGCGGGUUCAAUUGCCGCGGUACCCUGACCGUGCUAAGGUAGCGUAAUCAAUAGCCUAUUAAUUGUUGGCCAGUAUCAAUGGCAUGACGCUGGUAGCGCUGUCUCUGUAGUGUUCUGUUGAAGUUAACCUCUUGGUGAAAAGGCCAAGAUUACCCUAAAAGACGAUAAGACCCUGUCGAACUUUAGGCUAAGUGCUUGUAAGCUGUCUUACUGGUAAUGAACCUUUGGUUGGGGAAACCGGGGACCAAGAAAAGCGUCCUCCCAAAUACCGUUAUGCCAAUCGGGGAACUAUAAAAAAGAGAUUUUUAAGGGAUCUGACAGGAUAGAGGUUGUUUAGAGAUGAUCCGGGGACAAAAUCUCCGACUAUGGGAAAAGUUACCGCAGGGAUAACAGCGUAAUCCUCUCGGAGAGACCAUAUUAAUGAGGGGGUUUGCGACCUCGAUGUUGGCUUGGGGCGUCCCGGAAGUGCAGGAGCUUUCAAUGGUAGGUCUGUUCGACCUUUAAAGCCCUACAU